GUGAAUCAUCAAAUUUUUGAACGCAAAUUGCGCUUCCUGGUAUCCCGGGAAGUAUGCCUGUUUGAGGGUCAGUAUUAACAAAAAAUCGGUUUGGUUGCAAAUUGUGACGUUUCCGGAGUUUGGGCUUAUCUUAACUUUUUGGUUUAAGGGGUUUAAAAUGAACCUUUUUGGCGCUUUUUUAGAGUUACAUAAAUUUUUUUUUUUGUGUCUAUUCAUUAUUCCAAAAUUUUUUGAUA
rnacentral:misc_RNA from 1 species